GAACCUGUUCUGCAUAAGUAAAGCAGAGCCAGUGUGUUGGAUUCAGUCUCUAAACAAAGAAGCCGUAAGCUGACUAGAAGCAGCAGUGGAGGUACUUCAUGACAGCAGCAGGUGGUUACCAGCUCUGGGGACAGUCGAGCAGCUCCAUAGCUCCAUGACCUAUUUGGGAUCGAUCUCCUUCUGUGCCUUGGGCACCGCCAGCCACAUCUUAGCUUAUUUCAGUGGUAUUAUUGGUUCCAUAACACAUUUUCUAGAAUAUCUUGUUUUCUGUUUAUUCUUUAGCUGUGUAAGUAUUUUUGCCAUGAUCCAUACAUAGUGAAGGAUCUUACUUUGCUCCUUUCACAUGUCUCUUAAAAUACUGCACAAACGUCUUUUGAAUUUUCAUGAGAAAGUCUAAAUCAUCAAUCUGGAUUGUUCUCAGGGUUCUGUAAGGAUCAGACACAGGUGUUUCUUCAUCUGAUGAAGAUCUUUAAUUGGGGGGAGGGGAGGGAGGUCAAAAUUCUAUUGAUUUCUGCCUGGGCAGUUCUGUCUUUCCAACUCAUUGCCUGAGAAUUUGUAGUGACACCUGGAAUUGGAUGCAGAUACUGAUGUUAAUGCAGCAGCUUUGGAGGCAUAAUUAGGACGAUGAGUGGGAUAAUUCUGUGGUUAGAUUCUUCUACCGCACAUGAAAUUACAGCUUAGCAUAUAGCUCCCAAGCCUUGAAAACAUUACUGUUGAUUGAAUUCAUUGUGAAAUGUUCAAUCCAUGUUGAAAUCUGAAUGAUGUUUUUAAUAAAAGUAAAUAUUUAUGGU
rnacentral:lncRNA from 7 species